AUAUAUAUGAAAGUUGGUUAACU
rnacentral:snRNA from 1 species